ACGUACCAAAUGAGUAUGCCUUUUGGAAUAAUUCUUUUUACCUUUGCUUGAAAAGGAAUUCGAAGCUCGAAAUUAUGGCUAGCAGACAAGGUGGACUUUACCUGCCUUUUCAUGGUAUUUAAUCAAACAGAUUCAAUUUCUACAAUCAACUCUGACUUCAAUUCACUUCAAAUUUUCUAUCAGCAACUUUGGAGGAUUUCUAGCAAUCAGUGUUGAGAAAAGGUUUUCAUGCACUAUUUCGAUGAACAGAUGCAUUAUUUCCAUAAACAGAUGCACUGUUCCAAUGAACAGAUGCACUGUUACAGCAAACAGAUGCACUGUUCCAGUGAACUGAUGCACUAUUUCAGCAAACUGAUGCAAUGUUUUGAUGAAAGGACACAAUGUUUCACACGAACUGGAGAAUUCUGAGUCAUGGUGAUCUUAUAAAUUUCUGGUAUCAUUUAUUAGAUUACUUUCUUUUCUGCGAAGACUGAAGAAAAGAAGCCUUUAAGCAAAGCAGUUACAAUCCUAGGUGCUAAGAGUACUACUGAUGAAAGACAGCAACGUAUAAGUCUCCCCUUCAAAGUUACGUAAUACUGUAUUUUUGCUGAUGGAUCACAAAUAUCUUUCCAAAAAAUGGAGAAAAAAAGAAGACAGACUUAGCCUAUCAGCAAUUAAUAUGAUGCAUAUUUGUAGACUGUAUUUGCGAAUGCUUUAUUACCCUCAAUGGUUUAACUCUAUCUAGGAAAUACGUAUAAAAAAACUUUUCUAUAAUCAGAAAAAACUUAACC